AUCCACCUCCCCGCGCCCCCCGCACCCGUGCGCCGUCCGCCCCAGGUCGCUGCAGCCCCCGGGCUCGUGGGAAGCACCCCCUGCCCUUGCGGGGCUCUCGGACGCCAGGACACGGAGCAACGCGCUCCAGUCGCAGCAGGGGAGGCUGAGGGAAUCAAGAUACAGAGGGACCAUGUGGUUUAUCACGGGUGACAUAAGGAGUCUUUGGAAGAACCGGAAACUUGAGUCUCUGGACAGAGUUUUAAGAACAGGAACAAUAUCCUAGUGGUUUCCUUCAGAGAUGCUCCUCAAGCAUCAUAUCUGAAGCACGUGAUGUCCUACGUUGCGGUCCUUUCACCACAGACCCCUUUUGGAAAUCACAAACGGAGGUGCGGACCGCUUUGAAUUGUAGGUGUGGGUAUUCACAUACUUUUAAUCGAUCAUAGUCAUCUUUCGCAGACCCCUUCGACAUAGCCUGUGGACCCCCAAAGAGUCCAUGGACAACAGGUUGUAAACCACUGCUAUAGCGGAUGGACCUGCAGCGAAUGGACAUUUAGAUGCAACAUUUGAAAGGUCUCCAAUGUCCAGCGAGUAGGUGAAGAGGGUUUCUAGUGCAGACUGAAACUGGGCCAAGACAGCAGACCAGUGGCAAGGUUUGGAUUCCUUUUGCUCUAAUAUGCCUCAGCAAACCAAGUAGGAAAUGGAUCUCCCAAGUAGAUACAUUUGCUGAUUGUGCUAAAGGAAUGGGUUUUGGUCCCAAUUGGUUGGAAUGAUGGCUGCUCUAUUCUAUUUACCUCUGACGUACAGGCUGUCUAGGAUAUAGUCACAACUGAGCUGAGUCCCCGGAUGAAAGCCAGGUGUUGACCAAGGAAUGACGUGGUGUGUUGAAAAGGACGUGCUGUCUAUAUGACCUGGUUAUAGGGGAUCCACGGGGAACGUAGGUAAGAGCAGGGGUACGUGGCCAGAGCCUGACUGGUGGCGGUUGCCUGUACAGAUAGAUCAGAUAACUUGCAGCAGUUAAGGACCUGCCUACAGUUAAUGCAUGCACCGCGUGGGCAUGCUGAUAUGCCAGGAUAAGCAAUGGCUUGAGCCAGCACUCAGACCUGGAGGAGUUGGACAUCACUGGGAUUUCUGGCAGAUGGGUGCAUUCCCAGCUCUACCCAGGAGAUGGCAGAAGUACUUCAAGCACAUAGAUUGAAACCUCCAAGCUAUGACCUAUCUAUUUCCCAGGAAACCACGGGCGAAUCCAGAAGAACCACUGCUUUUGUAGCUGCACGGGGUUGGAUUCAGAAGAGAUGGUCUUUGCAAUCUGCAUCAGCAGUCCAUGCGGGUUCAUCGUUCCUGCGCACGCCACUCUCAGCUUCUGUUUCUCCUCCAGAAACCUUGGAUGGGAGCUGACUCCCAAACAGGGAGAGGUCGUGUGACCCAAAAGCAGGAAAGAGUUGUACGAGGCUUGUCCAUGCGGUGACCGAUUGACUGCGAGAGGCGGCAGAAAAUUACGGGUGAGAUUUUAAAGAAGAGACCGCCAAGGAACUUUGGGUUGAGAGUUCAGCUUUGCAAUAAAUUAAUAGAUGAUGAAUUAGAGGAGUGCCUCCCUGGGUGUUAUUUGAAAGUCAAUGAGCGUUGUCAUAACCGUUGUCUCUGCUAGAUGGAGAUAAAAGAUGACUCUGCGCUCAUAGCACCGCGAUUCUGGGGCCCUGGGUUUGAGUUCUGCUCCUGCCACAGUCUCCUGCCUGCCCUCGGCGGUGGGGAAGGCAGCUCAGCGCCAGAUUUCCACGAGGCCUCAACGGUGCUCUGCCGAUGGUCGCUCCAGCAGGAGCAAUUCUGACAAGCUGGUCGCUUCCUGUUGUUUAAAGGGGAGCUGCAAAUUUUGUAAAGCUGAUCUCCACCGGCGUGGAGGGAGGCCAGGGUUAUAUGGGGUGAUGCACCUUGCUCUCUGCACCCCCCCUUGUCAAAAGCCUACAUCCACCCACGUGGACGAGCGCUGCGGCGGCCCUGAGGAUUCCUCGGGCGCUACCUGCCAUUGGGAUAGAUGCAGAGGAGCUUCCUGCGGCCAGGCACCCCCCUUCACCAGGUCUCCUCCGAUC